rnacentral:rRNA from 1 species
CGCAAUGGGCGAAAGCCUGACGGAGCAACGCCGCGUGAGGGACGAAGGCCUCUGGGCUGUAAACCUCUUUUCUCAAGGAAGAAGAUAUGACGGUACUUGAGGAAUAAGCCACGGCUAAUUCCGUGCCAGCAGCCGCGGUAAUACGGGAGUGGCAAGCGUUAUCCGGAAUUAUUGGGCGUAAAGCGUCCGCAGGCGGCCUUUCAAGUCUGCUGUUAAAGCGUGGAGCUUAACUCCAUUAUGGCAGUGGAAACUGAUCGGCUUGAGUAUGGUAGGGGCAGAGGGAAUUCCCGGUGUAGCGGUGAAAUGCGUAGAUAUCGGGAAGAACACCAGUGGCGAAGGCGCUCUGCUGGGCCAUUACUGACGCUCAUGGACGAAAGCCAGGGGAGCGUAAGGGAUUAGAUACCCCUGUAGUCCUGGCCGU